GACGAACGCUGGCGGCGUGCUUAACACAUGCAAGUCGAACGGAAAGGCCCUGCUUUUGUGGGGUGCUCGAGUGGCGAACGGGUGAGUAACACGUGAGUAACCUGCCCUUGACUUUGGGAUAACUUCAGGAAACUGGGGCUAAUACCGGAUAGGAGCUCCCGCUGCAUGGUGGGGGUUGGAAAGUUUCGGCUGUUGGGGAUGGACUCGCGGCUUAUCAGCUUGUUGGUGGGGUAGUGGCUUACCAAGGCUUUGACGGGUAGCCGGCCUGAGAGGGUGACCGGCCACAUUGGGACUGAGAUACGGCGCAGACUCCUACGGGAGGCAGAAGUGGGGAAUAUUGCACAAUGGGCGGAAGCCUGAUGCAGCAACGCCGCGUGCGGGAUGACGGCCUUCGGGUUGUAAACCGCUUUCGCCUGUGACGAAGCGUGAGUGACGGUAAUGGGUAAAGAAGCACCGGCUAACUACGUG
rnacentral:rRNA from 1 species